AGUUUGAUCAUGGCUCAGGAUGAACGCUGGCGGCGUGCCUAACACAUGCAAGUCGAGCGAUCUUCUUCGGAAGAGAGCGGCGGACGGGUGAGUAACGCGUGGGUAACCUGCCUCAUACACAUGGAUAACAUACCGAAAGGUAUGCUAAUACAAGAUGAUAUAAGAGAUUCGCAUGGAUUUCUUAUCAAAGCUUUUGCGGUAUGAGAUGGACCCGCGUCUGAUUAGCUAGUUGGUAAGGUAAUGGCUUACCAAGGCGACGAUCAGUAGCCGACCUGAGAGGGUGAUCGGCCACAUUGGAACUGAGACACGGUCCAAACUCCUACGGGAGGCAGCAGUGGGGAAUAUUGCACAACGGGCGAAAGCCUGAUGCAGCAACGCCGCGUGAGCGAUGAAGGCCUUCGGGUCGUAAAGCUCUGUCCUCAAGGAAGAUAAUGACGGUACUUGAGGAGGAAGCCCCGGCUAACUACGUG
rnacentral:rRNA from 1 species